rnacentral:rRNA from 1 species
GGAAUAUUGGGCAAUGGGCGGAAGCCUGACCCAGCCAUGCCGCGUGCAGGAAGAAGGCCUUCUGGGUUGUAAACUGCUUUUAUUUGGGAAGAAAAGACUCUUGCGAGAGGCACUGACGGUACCAGAUGAAUAAGCACCGGCUAACUCCGUGCCAGCAGCCGCGGUAAUACGGAGGGUGCAAGCGUUGUCCGGAUUUAUUGGGUUUAAAGGGUGCGUAGGCGGCUUGAUAAGUCCGUGGUGAAAGCCAACAGCUCAACUGUUGAACUGCCAUGGAUACUGUCGGGCUUGAGUACAGACGAGGUAGGCGGAAUUGAUGGUGUAGCGGUGAAAUGCAUAGAUACCAUCAAGAACCCCGAUUGCGAAGGCAGCUUACUAGGCUGUAACUGACGCUGAGGCACGAAAGCGUGGGGAGCGAACA